AGUGAACGCUGGCGGUAGGCCUAACACAUGCAAGUCGAACGGCAGCACAGUAAGAGCUUGCUCUUACGGGUGGCGAGUGGCGGACGGGUGAGGAAUACAUCGGAAUCUACUUUUUCGUGGGGGAUAACGUAGGGAAACUUACGCUAAUACCGCAUACGACCUACGGGUGAAAGCAGGGGAUCUUGGGAGCUUGCGCGAUUGAAUGAGCCGAUGUCGGAUUAGCUAGUUGGCGGGGUAAAGGCACACCAAGGCGACGAUCCGUAGCUGGUCUGAGAGGAUGAUCAGCCACACUGGAACUGAGACACGGUCCAGACUCCUACGGGAGGCAGCAGUGGGGAAUAUUGGACAAUGGGCGCAAGCCUGAUCCAGCCAUACCGCGUGGGUGAAGAAGGCCUUCGGGUUGUAAAGCCCUUUUGUUGGGAAAGAAAAGCAGCAGGUUAAUACCCCGCUGUUCUGACGGUACCCAAAGAAUAAGCACCGGCUAACUUCGUG
rnacentral:rRNA from 1 species